AGCGAACGCUGGCGGCGUGCUUAACACAUGCAAGUCGAGCGAGAAAGGGGGCUUCGGCCCCUGAGUACAGCGGCGAACGGGUGCGUAAUACAUGAGCAAUCUAUCCUUGAGGCGGGAAUAACCCAGCGAAAGUUGGGCUAAUACCGGAUGAGACCACAGGAGGAAACUCCAGGGGUCAAAGGCAGCUCUCUUUUGGGAGCGGCCCUUCGAAGAGGAGCUCAUGUCCUAUCAGCUAGUUGGUAGGGUAACGGCCUACCAAGGCGAAGACGGGUAGCUGGUCUUAGAGGAUGAUCAGCCACACGGGGACUGAGACACGGCCCCGACUCCUACGGGAGGCAGCAGUGGGGAAUAUUGGGCAAUGGGCGAAAGCCUGACCCAGCGACGCCGCGUGGGUGAUGAAGG
rnacentral:rRNA from 1 species